rnacentral:rRNA from 1 species
GAUGAACGCUGGCGGCGUGCCUAAUACAUGCAAGUCGAGCGAACAGACGAGGAGCUUGCUCCUCUGACGUUAGCGGCGGACGGGUGAGUAACACGUGGAUAACCUACCUAUAAGACUGGGAUAACUUCGGGAAACCGGAGCUAAUACCGGAUAAUAUAUUGAACCGCAUGGUUCAAUAGUGAAAGACGGUUUUGCUGUCACUUAUAGAUGGAUCCGCGCCGCAUUAGCUAGUUGGUAAGGUAACGGCUUACCAAGGCAACGAUGCGUAGCCGACCUGAGAGGGUGAUCGGACACACUGGAACUGAGACACGGUCCAGACUCCUACGGGAGGCAGCAGUAGGGAAUCGUCCGCAAUGGGCGAAAGCCUGACGGAGCAACGCCGCGUGAGUGAUGAAGGUCUUCGGAUCGUAAAACUCUGUUAUUAGGGAAGAACAAAUGUGUAAGUAACUAUGCACGUCUUGACGGUACCUAAUCAGAAAGCCACGGCUAACUACGUG